AUAUUGGACAAUGGGCGAAAGCCUGAUCCAGCCAUGCCGCGUGUGUGAAGAAGGCCUUCGGGUUGUAAAGCACUUUAAGCGAGGAGGAAUGGCUCUAGGUUAAUACCCUUGAGCAGUGACGUUACUCGCAGAAUAAGCACCGGCUAACUCUGUGCCAGCAGCCGCGGUAAUACAGAGGGUGCAAGCGUUAAUCGGAAUUACUGGGCGUAAAGCGCGCGUAGGCGGUUACGUAAGUUGGAGGUGAAAUCCCCGAGCUCAACUUGGGAAUUGCCUUCAAAACUGCGUGGCUAGAGUGUGGGAGAGGAAGGUAGAAUUCCAGGUGUAGCGGUGAAAUGCGUAGAUAUCUGGAGGAAUACCGAUGGCGAAGGCAGCCUUCUGGCCUAACACUGACGCUGAGGUGCGAAAGCAUGGGGAGCAAACAGGA
rnacentral:rRNA from 1 species